GAAAAGCUCAGUUUUGCCCGCGCUGUUCUACUACAAGUAAGACUCAAGUAAGAUCCAAUGGGCAGACGCCGGGGAAUAAACGUCACCGAAGACGAGCGAGGGCGUGGGGCGUGAACACCGAGCGUUCCAAUCAGAAGAUCAGUGUUUCUAUUGGGACAAUGGGUGGCUCCGCCCCCACUGCAGACUUAUUGUCUGGGGGAGGAGGCUCCGGUGGUUCCAGAAGAGCCGGGAGAGACAAUCCAGGAGGCGUUCUACGGUUCAGCCUGCAAAGCAGCACCGACAGUGGCCUGCAACGCCAUGGUCAGAUGGCGACGGCAUCCCUGGAUCCAGGAGGGGUUUAGGGCUAAGGCCCCGAACGCUCCAAGGGGCGCGGCUCCUGCUUGGAACCAGCGGACAACUCCGGCUUCGGCCUCUGGCCCGCCCCAAAUGGUACCUAUGACAUCACCACCAACCAAUCAAAUGGCGCAUUCUUAGGCCUCCUCAUUGACUUUUUCGCUUCCAGGAGGCGGGAUUCCUCGUUCCAGCACCUCAUGUGACUACGGAGAGCCGGUGGGUGGGCUCCAGUGGUGCCCUCUGGUGUCUCAGAAUCUGAGGACUUCCUAAGUGUGUGCAGCCUGGCAGUGAACAGAGCAAGGCAUGGAGGCCACUGAAUGUCCCCGUCCCAGCUUCCGGAGGGCCUGAGCUCAUCCCUGAAUGACACGCUCUCUGGGGGAGAACCGCAGGGCUCUGCCUUCAGCUCUCCAAUGAGAAAGGACUUGUACCUGGAAGUCAGCGGUGUUGAUUCUGGCUGUGAAAGGGAGGCAGAGGCCUCCAGGAUGAAGUGACCAUGCUGUACCACAUGAAGCUUUCCUGCCGGCCACUGUGUCAGCUCCUCCUCGGGUCCAGACCUGUUUUCCUGGGACCCCACCCCAAGGGGUCUUCUUUGCUGCGUUUCGCUCUGCUGGGAGAGUAACAGCUCCCUGCCGUCAGCAUCCCAUUAAGAAAGGAAAAGUCAUGGCCAGAAGUCACGGUGUCUGAUUUUCGAAGUGUGGAAUCCUAUGAGAAUCAUCUUGAGUAACAAAAUGAAAGGGACUGUUGAAAACCACUGCUGUCUGGUGUCUGCCUAUGGGUUCUGACUCUCCUCCCCAACUUACAGCGACAAGCCC
ensembl:lncRNA